CAAUAGCGUAUAUUAAAGCUGUUGCGGUUAAAAAGCUCGUAGUUGGAUUUCUGUCAAGGACAACUGGUCCGCCCUCCGGGUGAGCACAUAGUUUGGUCUUGGCAUCUUGCUGGAAACUGUUGCUGCGCUUGGUUGUGUGGUGCAGCUUUCAGCACUUUCACUUUGAGGAAAUUGGAGUGUUUCAAGCAGGCACAUGCCUUUGGACACAGUAGCAUGGAAUAAUUAGAUUGGGCUUUUGCUCCAACUUGUUGGUUCCUGGAGCUGAGGUGAGAAUCAAUGGGGAUUGUUGGGGGCAUCCGAAUUUAGCCGUCAGAGGUGGAAUUCUUGGAUCUGCUAAAGACGGACAACUGCGAAAGCGUUUGCCCAGGAUGUUUUCAUUGA
rnacentral:rRNA from 1 species